AAGAACGUACAACCUCUGUACAGACCAGCACCCAUUGUCAGGAUCGAACCCAGGUCCCUGGCGCUGAAAGGCAGUAACUCUACUGCUGCGCCAUGUGACACCCCUAGCAUGUUGUUCUUAUCAUGUUGGCACAGAGUCCAAUAAUAGAGGAAUAGCAUCCCUGAUUCUGGUUUUGUAGGUUUUCAAUUCAUAUAAUGUGACCAUGAAGUAAACAUAAAUGUUAACAUUAUUAUUUGUAUAAAGCCUUCCUCAAAAUUUCUCGAUGGCAAUUAUUUAUUUUCAAAAUCUCUCAGAAAUGAAUGGAGUCUGAAAUCUAUUUUUACCUUGAACCGGGUGUAAUUUGGAAUUGCAAAAAGUAGAUGAGGGAAAGUUUGCUCUUUGUCCUCACUGACUUCUGCAAUCACUGAAUGUCAUUCGUCUGUCUUUCAGUAACAUGCUGACAAUGAUUAGACAUCACAAUGUGGUGAUUCAAUGAAUCAGCUUAUGGAUUGCUAUCCAAGGCUGACUGAACACAAGAUAGUCCCAUCAAUAAGCCAUUAUUUUUUUUUGUUUUUGUAAACUACAGCUAUUUCCAUCGAUUUGAUAUGCAUUCUUUCUCUUUUAAAAGGAAUUUUGUUUCUUUGAAUAGACAGAGUUUAUGAGACUGGCAGUUGUUUUGGUCAGAAUUUAUAGAUCCAUAAACCUUGCUUAUAUGUGAUGGUUAAAUCAGGGCUUUUGAGAAUUAAACAGUUGAAUACAAUGAUAAAUAAUUAAUUUGUUAUAACUAUCUUGAUAAUCCACUGUCAGCAUCCUACAUCUAGAAGUAUCAAGUUUGUGGUUUCCAUUGUCAGAUGUCCAUUGCUCUGUAAUGUUAAACGUAAGACUUUCCCUAUUAAAAGCCUUAAGUUUUAAGCACAGAUCAAUGAUACUAGAGGGGAGGCCAAUGAAUUUUCCACUCAUCGACAUUUUUGUUCCAUGGAAUGCUGGAGGCUGUUCUAAAUACAGAGGCAUGAAUGAAACCUUCCUUUCAUUAUAUUUCCUUUGGUGAUGCAAACAUCCAAGAGUCUUUCCCUCUUAAAAAGGAUGUCGGCCAAUUGUACCAGUCUUGUGCAUCUUAUUGUGGGUUUCUACGGUUCACUUAAAGUGAGAGCACAAAGCCAAAACCAUGUUGCUGGAAAUUAGAACAUUGUGAUGGACCAUUAGCAAGAAGAACAGUGGGUUUAUUGCAUUGCUUUUGCCAACAUGUAAUUCGUUUGAAGAGGCUAAAUCUGGUCCCCUAUUGGAGUUCCUGGCUCUUGGAGAUGGAAUGGAAAGUAUUUAAACAUUUACCAAGUGAACCUCAGUUUACAACUCCAUAACGUGCAUAUAAAGAUUGUGGUCUAUUGAUGGAAAAGUAACUACACUUUUGUAGAGCUAAAUUUGAAUUGUGGAUACCUCUGCAAUGAGAUAAUUUUCUUCUUGCAUUACCUAGCCAUUUAAAAUAAAAUAUUCUUGCAGCAGAUUUUAUGAGGACGUUGUCUCAUGAUUAAGCACAUUUUCACCAAGUGAAAGAUUAAAAGUAUUCACCGAGUAUAGAAGUUAGGAGGCCAUGCUGCACUUAUAUAAGACAUGGUGAGAUAACAUUUAGUGCUCAGUUUCUGUCACAGAAAACAUCUGUUGUAGAAAAGAUGUUGUCAGGCUAAAAAGGUUGCAGGGACGAUUUACUAGGAUGUUGCCAGGACUCGACGGCCUGAGCUAGAGGGAGAGGUUGAACAGGCUAGGACUUGAAGAGCAAGAGGAAGCGGUGUACAAAAUCAUGAGAGGAAAAGACGGGGUUAACUCACAGAGUCCUUUGCUCAGAAUAGGGGGAUUGAGAACCAGAGGGCAUAGGUUUAUGGUGAGGGGGGAAAGAUUUAAUAGCAACCUGAGGAGUAACUUUCUUACACAAGUGGUGGUGGGUGUAUGGAACCAGCUGCUGGAGGAGAUAGAUGAGGCAGGUAUAAUCGCAAUGUUUAAAAAGCAUUUAGACAGGUACAUGGAUAGGACAGGUUUGGAGGGGUAUGGGCCAAACGCAGACAGGUGGGACUAGUGUAGAUGGUGCAUGUCGGCCGGCAUAGGAAAGUGGGGCUGAAGGGCCUGUAUCUGUGCUGAAUGACUCUAUGACUGUAUGAUAUGAGACAGUCAAUGUAUGUACUUUGCUAGUGUGGUGGGCUAGAGUGGGGGAGAGGGGAUGGUUGUGAACAAUGGGAUGAUAAGAACCAAAUUUACCAAGUUUUGAACUUUACUCUAAGUGUAUACCUAAGUGUACUUCCAGCACGGGGUGUGUUUAACAUCAGGAAACAGAGACUCUUUUCAACUUUCACUACCAGAACCAGGGCAGGAAGGCAAAUGAGUGCCUUCAUUUCAAUGUUAACUCGAUGAAGGUGAGGUUAGAAUUGGGAACUUGCUCAUGAACCAAAUCACAGGUUCAGAGGUUUAUAGGUUCUAGUAGCAUAAUUAGGCCAUUGGCCCAUCGUCUCCCCUGCCAUUCAAUCAUGGCUGAUCUAUCUUUCCCUCUGAACCCCAUUAUCCCGCCUUCUCCCCAUAACCCCUGCCACCCUUACUAAUCAUAAAUCUGUCAAUCUCCACCUUAAAAAUAUACAUUGCCAGAAAUCGAAUGAAACAAAUGUAUUGAUCAUCCUCGUCAACAUUUGGAAGUCUGUAGAUUGAAUCACUGCAUUGCACUGUUGUACAGUCUGUUUAAUAUUGUGCUGUGUUCAUGGAUCAUUGAAACAAUAGACAAUAGACAAUCGGUGCAGGAGUAGGCCAUUCGGCCCUUCGAGCCAGCACCGCCAUUUAAUGUGAUCACGGCUGAUCAUCCACAAUCAGUACCCUGUUCCUGCCUUCUCCAGGCAGUCACAUAUUGUGAGUUUAAAAUCUGGCAGAUUAGCAAAAUAGCAGGUUCUGUGAAAACGUCACCCAUGGAUUUCCCAUGUAGUGUAAUUUUGGAUGUAAUGAGCCAUUCUAGUCUCUGUACCUUGGUAUCUUACAGAUCUUUACUGGACUUUAUCUCGCAUUAAAGAUAAUUCACCUUAUUCCCUUCGUCACGUAUCUGCACACUGUGGAUGACUCAUUUGUAAUCAUGUAUGGUCUUUCUGCUGAUGGGGUAGCAAUAAAAACUUUGCACUGUACCUUGGUUCUUGUGACAAUCAACAAAACUAAACUUCAUUCAUGUAGACACAAUGAACUGUAGAUGCAGGAACCUUGCUUAGAACACAAAGUGCUGGAGUAACUCAGUGGGUCAUACAGCACCUCUAGAGGACAUGGGCAGGAGACACCCUGGCUCAGGACCAAGAAGGGACUUAGAAACAUUGAAACUAGGUGCAGGAGAAGGCCAUUUGGCCUUUCAGAUUCAGAUUCAGAUUCAAACUUUAUUGUCAUUGUGCAGUGUACAGUACAGAGACAACGAAAUGCAGUUAGCAUUUGGCUCAGUUAGAAUGGCAAGCCAGCACUGCCAUUCAAUAUGAUCAUGGCUGAUCAUCCAAAAUCAGUACCCCGUUCCUGCUUUCUCCCCAUAUCCUUUGAUUCAAUUAGCCCUAAGAGAGCUAUAUCUAACUCUCUCUUGUCCAGAAGCAUUGCCUGUCCAUGUCCUCCAGAGAUGCUGCCUGACCCACUGAGUUACUCUAGCACUUUGAGAUCACGGUUCAUGUUUGCUUUGCAAGUAAGGUUGUUAAUUUUGACUGGUUCAAGUUUGCCAUGAGGUCGGUCACGGUGGCGGUCACGGCAGUCAAGGUGGCACAGUGGUUGUCUUACAGUGAAUGCAGCGCCGGAGACCCGGGUUCGAUCCUGACUACGGGUGCUGUACUGUAUGGAGUUUGUACGUUCUCCCCAUGAUCUGCAUGGGUUUUCUCCAAGAUCUUCGGUUUCCUCCCAAACUUCAAAGACGUACAGGUUUGUAGGUUAAUUUACUUGGUAAAUGUUAAAAAAAAUUGUCCCUAGUGGGUGCGGGAUAGUGUUAAUGUGCGGGGAUCACUGGUCGGCGCGGACCCGGUGGGCCGAAGAUCCUGUUUCUGCGCUGUAUCUCUAAACUAAACUAAACUAAUAAACCUGUGGUCUGUGGUCAAUUGGUAGACUUUAGCAGGGUGAUACUUAGUAUGCUGAACUCUGCUUUUCAUCUCUAUGAUUUGAGGAGUUUCAAUUGACUGGGUAAUUCCCAGGACAGAUCAGUGCAUUGUAGUCUCUGGUGUCUGCCACUAGAUGUCAGUAUAGUAUUUAUGUUACCUGUCAUUCCAAACAAGUUGGGAUGCGAUUUGCAGGCACGAUUCCCCAUGGAGCUGGGUUAGAUUCCAAUUAGAACUCACACACUUUAUUUUGGUGUUUUCAUACCUUUUGCUGCUGUCAGGUGUCCUGGAUCACUCUAACUACACCAGGAGAAAAAAAGAUAAUAUCCAGUUUCAAGCAAUAUUUUCCUCUUCAUAUUGCAUCUGACCUUAAUUCUUACCUUGUCACAUAAAUAGGAACUGCAGCCAAGGCUUGUCACCACUAAUGCUUUGACGAGUUAAUUGAGGGUCAAAAGGGCUUCAGCAUGCUAUUUUUAAUCUUCCUAAUCGCUUGUUAUUACCACUGUGUAGGUAGGGGAGGGGAGGGCAAGGGAAAGGGAGUGGGAGUAUGGAGAGCUGGAAUGCCCACAAGCUGGUUAGAAGAAAGGUCUGGAGGGUAGGUGCUGGGGAGGUGGGUAAGCUCACACUGAUCUUGUCAACUUGACCAAUUAUGGAUUUAGUCACCAGGUUGUGGAGCCAUAUGAUGUGAAAACAGGCCUUUCAGCCCACCGGGCUCAUGCUGGCUCAUUUAUAAUAAGCCUGCACUAAUCUCAUUUAUUCGCCGCAAGCAACUGCUACCAACAUUGCAGUGUUACAAUUGCAUCUUGGUAAGUGUAGUUCCACAAAUGAAGAAGGGUCUGAUGAAGGGUCUCAACCCGAAACGUCACCCAUUCCUUCUCUGCAGAGACGCUGUCUGUCCCGCUGAGUUACUCCUGCAUUUUGUGUCUAUCUUCGAUUUAAACCACAUCUGCAGUUCUUUCCUACACAAUGAAGUAUACUUAACAGCUUUCCUUGCUCCCUAAUGUUUUCCUCUUUACCUGCCAUAGAGUGUCAAAACUGCUUUGUUAUUUUCAGGAACUUAUGGAAGAGAAUAACAGUUUAAUCUGAUCCUUCCUGUGACUGCCAUCUACAGUUACACAGUCCAAUAACAAAGGGUCAUGGGGCAAUAAUUCACUCGGAACAGUUUAGAGUUGGUGCCUAAACGGAAGAAGUCCGCAUUGUUUAGGUCGUUCUUGAGCGGGGAACUACAAUCAUUGCAUGAGCCUUUCAAUUGGAGCAGACAGCAAUUUGCCUGGAAGGCAGAGAUCCAACAUGUUGGACAAGCAUUUCACCGACACGUCUACACUUUGAACCCUGCUAGAGAUGCGAGUAUGAAUAGUGUGACACAAGAUCAAUAAAUCUCAGUGAGCCC